UACGGAAGGCAGCAGGGGGAAUAUUGCACAAUGGGCGCAAGCCUGAUGCAGCCAUGCCGCGUGUAUGAAGAAGGCCUUCGGGUUGUAAAGUACUUUCAGUCGUGAGGAAGGUGUUAAGGUUAAUAACCUUAGCAAUUGACGUUAGCGACAGAAGAAGCACCGGCUAACUCCGUGCCAGCAGCCGCGGUAAUACGGAGGGUGCGAGCGUUAAUCGGAAUUACUGGGCGUAAAGGGCACGCAGGCGGUUAAUUAAGUUGGAUGUGAAAUCCCCGGGCUUAACCUGGGAAUGGCAUUCAAGACUGGUUAGCUAGAGUCUUGUAGAGGGGGUAGAAUUCCGAUGUGUAGCGGUGAAAUGCGUAGAGAUGUGGAGGAAUACCGGUGGCGAAGGCGGCCCCUGGACAAAGGACUGACGCUCAUGUGCGAAAGCGUGGGGAGCGAAACAGGGAUUAGAUACC
rnacentral:rRNA from 1 species